rnacentral:rRNA from 1 species
GACGAACGCUGGCGGCGUGCUUAACACAUGCAAGUCGAACGAUGACGACCGAGCUUGCUCGGUCUGAUUAGUGGCGAACGGGUGAGUAACACGUGAGCAACCUGCCCUUCACUCUGGGAUAACCUCGGGAAAUCGGGGCUAAUACCGGAUAUGAGCUCCUGUCGCAUGGCGGGUGUUGGAAAGUUUUUCGGUGAAGGAUGGGCUCGCGGCCUAUCAGUUUGUUGGUGAGGUAGUGGCUCACCAAGGCGAUGACGGGUAGCCGGCCUGAGAGGGCGACCGGCCACGCGGGGACUGAGACACGGCCCAGACUCCUACGGGAGGCAGCAGUGGGGAAUAUUGCACAAUGGGCGAAAGCCUGAUGCAGCGACGCCGCGUGAGGGAUGACGGCCUUCGGGUUGUAAACCUCUUUCAGCAGGGAAGAAGCGAAAGUGACGGUACCUGCAGAAGAAGCGCCGGCUAACUACGUG